UACGGGGGGGGCAAGCGUUGUUCGGAAUUACUGGGCGUAAAGGGCUCGUAGGCGGCCAACUAAGUCGGACGUGAAAUCCCUCGGCUUAACCGGGGAACUGCGUCCGAUACUGGAUGGCUUGAGUUCGGGAGAGGGAUGCGGAAUGCCAGGUGUAGCGGUGAAAUGCGUAGAUAUCUGGAGGAACACCGGUGGCGAAGGCGGCAUCCUGGACCGACACUGACGCUGAGGAGCGAAAGCCAGGGGAGCAAACGGG
rnacentral:rRNA from 1 species